UGGGGCUAAUACCGGAUAGGCAAUUAUUCCUGCAAUGGUUUUUUGUUUAAAUGUUUUUUCGCCUAAGGAUGGGUCUGCGGCCGAUUAGGUAGUUGGUUAGGUAAUGGCUUACCAAGCCGUUGAUCGGUACGGGUUGUGAGAGCAAGAGCCCGGAGAUGGAACCUGAGACAAGGUUCCAGGCCCUACGGGGUGCAGCAGGCGCGAAACCUCCGCAAUGUGAGAAAUCGCGACGGGGGGAUCCCAAGUGCCAUUCUUAACGGGAUGGCUUUUCAUUAGUGUAAAAAGCUUUUGGAAUAAGAGCUGGGCAAGACCGGUGCCAGCCGCCGCGGUAACACCGGCAGCUCUAGUGGUAGCAAUUUUUAUUGGGCCUAAAGCGUCCGUAGCCGGUUUAAUAAGUCUCUGGUGAAAUCCUGUAGCUUAACUGUGGGAAUUGCUGGAGAUACUAUUAGACUUGAGACCGGGAGAGGUUAGAGGUACUCCCAGGGUAGAGGUGAAAUUCUGUAAUCCUGGGAGGACCGCCUGUUGCGAAGGCGUCUAACUGGAACGGUUCUGACGGUGAGGGACGAAAGUUAGGGGCGCGAACCGGAUUAGAUACCCGGGUAGUCCUAACUGUAAACGAUGCGGACUUGGUGUUGGGGUGGCUUUGAGCUGCUCCAGUGCCGAAGGGAAGCUGUUAAGUCCGCCGCCUGGGAAGUACGGUCGCAAGACUGAAACUUAA
rnacentral:rRNA from 1 species